AGCUCCAAUAGCGUAUAUUAAUGUUGUUGCAGUUAAAAAGCUCGUAGUCGGAUUUUGGCUUAGUCGAACUGUCUGCCAAUUGGUAUGUACGGUUUGACGACGCAUUCCUUCCAGAGGCUCUGUGAACCUUAAAUGAUGAACAGUAAGAAUCUGGAUCUUUUACUUUGAAAAAAUUAGAGUGUUCAAAGCAGGCCUAUGCUCGAAUAGGUUAGCAUGGAAUAAUAGAAUAGGACUUUGGUUCUAUUUUGUUGGUUUCUAGGACCGAAGUAAUGAUUAAUAGGGACAGUUGGGGGCAUUCAUAUUCCAUUGUCAGAGGUGAAAUUCUUGGAUUAACGGAAGAUGAACUUCUGCGAAAGCAUCUGCCAAGGAUGUUUUCAUUG
rnacentral:rRNA from 1 species